rnacentral:misc_RNA from 1 species
AGCAGCCGCGGUAAUUCCAGCUCCAAUAGCGUAUAUUAAAGUUGCUGCAGUUAAAAAGCUCGUAGUUGAAUUUCGGGACUAAUAUGUCGGUCGUGCCUCGGUACGUACUGGCAUUGUUGGUUUCUACCUUCUGACGAACCAUGAUGUCAUUUAUUUGGUGUCGUGGGAAAUCAGGACUGUUACUUUGAAAAAAUUAGAGUGUUUAAAGCAGGCUCACGCUUGAAUACAUUAGCAUGGAAUAAUGAAAUAGGACGUUUGAUUCUAUUUUGUUGGUUUCUAGGAUCGACGUAAUGAUUAAUAGGGAUAGUUGGGGGCAUUAGUAUUCAAUUGUCAGAGGUGAAAUUCUUGGAUUUAUUGAAGACUAACUACUGCGAAAGCAUUUGCCAAGGAUGUUUUCAUUAAUCAAGAACGAAAGUUAGGGGAUCGAAGACGAUCAGAUACCGUCGUAGUCUUAACCAUAAACUAUGCCGACUAGGGAUCGGAUGAUGUUAAUUUUUUAAUGACUCAUUCGGCGCCUUAC